rnacentral:sRNA from 1 species
CAGCCGGAAGGUGAGGCAUCCGCGGUCGC